CAGAACAGAAGUCACAUGUAUUGGACAAAACCAACACAGCCAACAAGACAAGCAAGAAAACAGGGUAAUUUAUAAAGGCUGGCAUGCAAAUUGAACCUAAGGAAUAGAACUAGAUCAGAUUUUAAAGCAAUAAAAAGGACCUAAGUUGAACCAAUACUGAACAGAUUUGAUUUACAUAUUGCAUACCAAACUGUUUAACAUUGUGCAUCAGAGAAACUGGUUUUAUUUUUCAUAUUUGAUGUUCUACAUUAGAUGCCGCUAUUGUGAAUUGCACUAAGUCCUUCAACUCUUUUUUUUAUUAUGACUUGUCACAAUAGGAUUAAUCCUUGUCUGUUUCAAAUGUGAUUGACUUAUAGCUCUUGNUACAAUUCACAAUAGACGAAGAUCAAUGCAGUUUACAAAUCAACACUUUACUUGCAUCAGAUUAAUGGUUCAACUUAAUAAGAAAAAGAACACAUACAGAAUUGGUUUCAUUGAUAACUUUUGCUUCUAGCAUCAAAUGAAUAUCUGAACAUAACAGUGUCUUAAAAAUAGUAGAAUUACUAUUGCUAAGCUCACUGGUAUAUCAGAAUUGUCAUAUGCAACUGCAGCUUUUGAAGCAUAAAAAUUCACAUUUAACCAAAACUGUAGAAAGUGAAUUUGAAUAACAAAACAGCAAACACAAAUGACUCAAAGAUAGAGAUUAUAAACUGAACUUAGUAAGGAACUAAUACUAAGCAUAUUUGUCAAAAUAUCAUAGCUCAUAUAUGGUGAACAGAACUUACUCAGUGCAGAAAACUCAAAUGAAUCACAAAACACAAGCAACAGCUAGUUAAGCUCGAAUUUAAUUGACAAUUAAACGAAGCACAAGACUAGAACAUGACAGAAAUGUGAUUUCAAACUUAAAAAGACUCAAUAACAUAGAACCACCGAAUUAAAAUGAUGAAAUCAGACUCAAAGCACUGACUCAAAGCUUAAAACAAACACAGAUUACGCAAACUUGGAGACCUAACACAUAAAUGUAGAAUCAAGAACGAACAACAGAUUGAAUCCCAUUCAGACCUUUAAUCAAAUAGUUCAUGAGCAACAGUAAACAUAAUACUCAAGACAAUGAAGGCAAAGCUAUGAACAACGCGGAAAAAUUAACACAAAACGCAACAGGAUACUCAGAAUCAUAUGAAACUCAGACAAGACCGAAUCAAGAAAACACGAAACAGAGACACUUACCUUUGAAGCGUGGACACAACCUGGUGCUCUGAUGACCACUUGAUUGAAGAAGGCUCCAAGAAAAGGCCGUUUGAGACUGUGCGAAGACAAACUGGACCUCUUCGAAGCUUCUCCGAUGAAGAAAACGCAGCGGAAUGUUGAUACGCAGCUCUAGAUCGAGAUGAAUCGAAGGAAAAACUAAGAAACACAGGAUGAUCUGACAGAAACCCUAAAUCCCCAAAUUAAACGGUAGAAAACCCUAGAACGAAGAAGAAACCCUAAAAUUGGUGAGGCGACUCAAUCAAACCGAUUAAUCGGUUCAAAACAGUGGUUGAACGGU
rnacentral:lncRNA from 1 species